rnacentral:rRNA from 1 species
AGAAUCAACGCUGGCGGCGUGCCUAACACAUGCAAGUCGAACGAGAAAGUGGAGCAAUCCAUGAGUAAAGUGGCGACCGGGUGAGUAACACGUGACUAACCUACCUUCAAGUGGGGGAUAACCUCGGGAAACCGGGGCUAAUACCGCAUAACAUCUUUGGAGUGGAAAUUCUGGAGAUCAAAGGAGUAAUUCGCUGGAAGAGGGGGUCGCGGCUGAUUAGCUAGUUGGCGGGGUAAUGGCCCACCAAGGCGAAGAUCGGUA